rnacentral:rRNA from 1 species
CCUACGGGAGGCAGCAGUGAGGAAUAUUGGUCAAUGGGCGUAAGCCUGAACCAGCCAAGUCGCGUGAGGGAUGAAGGUUCUAUGGAUCGUAAACCUCUUUUAUAAGGGAAUAAAGUGUGGGACGUGUCCUGUUUUGUAUGUACCUUAUGAAUAAGGAUCGGCUAACUCCGUGCCAGCAGCCGCGGUAAUACGGAGGAUCCGAGCGUUAUCCGGAUUUAUUGGGUUUAAAGGGUGCGUAGGCGGCCUUUUAAGUCAGCGGUGAAAGUCUGUGGCUCAACCAUAGAAUUGCCGUUGAAACUGGUAGGCUUGAGUAUGUUUGAGGCAGGCGGAAUGCGUGGUGUAGCGGUGAAAUGCUUAGAUAUCACGCAGAACCCCGAUUGCGAAGGCAGCAUACCAAGCCAUGACUGACGCUGAUGCACGAAAGCGUGGGGAUCGAACAGGAUUAGAUACCCCAGUAGUC